rnacentral:rRNA from 1 species
UACGUAGGGUGCGAGCGUUAAUCGGAAUUACUGGGCGUAAAGCGUGCGCAGGCGGUUUUGUAAGCCAGAUGUGAAAUCCCCGGGCUCAACCUGGGAAUGGCAUUUGGGACUGCAAGGCUCGAGUGCGGCAGAGGAGACUGGAAUUCCUGGUGUAGCAGUGAAAUGCGUAGAUAUCAGGAGGAACACCGAUGGCGAAGGCAGGUCUCUGGGCUGACACUGACGCUCAUGCACGAAA